rnacentral:rRNA from 1 species
GACAGAGGUGCCGAGCGUUAGGCGGAAUCACUGGGCUUAAAGCGUGUGUAGGCGGACGGGUAAGUACCUUGUGAAAUCCCACGGCUCAACCGUGGAACUGCUGGGUAUACUGGCGAUCUUGAGCCACCUAGGGGCGAGCGGAACAAGCGGUGGAGCGGUGAAAUGCGUAGAUAUCGCUUGGAACGCCAAUGGUGAAAACAGCUCGCUGGGGGUGUGCUGACGCUGAGACACGAAAGCCAGGGGAGCGAACGGG